UGAAUACGAGACGCUAAGGCGUCGAAGUAGUGUAUGUCAUACUUCCAAGAAAAGCUUGCACUGUCAUAAGUAAAAAAUGCCUGUACCAUAACCGACACAGGUGGGUAGGUAGAGUAUACUAAGGGGCGCGAGAUAACUCUCUCUAAGGAACUCGGCAAAAUAACUCCGUAACUUCGGGAGAAGGAGUACCUUAUUCUAUAAGGUUGCAAUAACAAGAUCCAAGCAACUGUUUAUCAAAAACACAGGUCUCCGCUAAGUCGUAGGACGAUGUAUGGGGGCUGACGCCUGCCCAGUGCCAGAAGGUUAAAGAAGUCGGUUAGCAUUAGCGAAGCUGGUAACUGAAGCCCUGGUGAACGGCGGCCGUAACGAUAACGGUCCUAAGGUAGCGAAAUUCCUUGUCGGGUAAGUUCCGACCCGCACGAAAGGCGUAAUGAUUUGGAUACUGUCUCGGAGAGGGGCUCGGUGAAAUAGACUUGUCUGUGAAGAUGCGGACUACCUGCACCAGGACAGAAAGACCCUAUGAAGCUUUACUGUAACUUGAAAUUGAAAUUGGACUUUAUUCGCGCAGUAUAGGUGGGAGGUGUUGAUUAUAAUCUUGCGGGAUUAUUGGAGCCAUCAGUGAGAUACCACUCUUGUAAUGUUAGAUUUCUAACUUUGAAUCAUUAUCUGGUCAAAGGACAGUUUCAGGCGGGCAGUUUGACUGGGGCGGUCGCCUCCCAAACGGUAACGGAGGCGUACAAAGGUUUCCUCUGAACGGGUAGAAAUCGUAUCUAGAGUGUAAAGGCAUAAGGAAGCUUGACUGUGAGACCUACAAGUCGAACCGGGACGAAAGUCGGUCUUAGUGAUCUGACGGUACUGAGUGGAAAGGCCGUCACUCAACGGAUAAAAGUUACUCUAGGAUAACAGGCUGAUCUCCCCCAAGAGUUCACAUCGACGGGGAGGUUUGGCACCUCGAUGUCGGCUCAUCGCAUCCUGGGGCGGUAGUACGUCCCAAGGGUUGGGCUGUUCGCCCAUGAAAGCGGUACGCGAGCUGGGUUCAGAACGUCGUGAGACAGUUCGGUCCAUAUCCGGUGUAGGCGUUAGAAUAUUGAGAGGAGCCUUCUUUAGUACGAGAGGACCGAGAAGGACAUACCUCUGGUGUACCAGUUAUCGUGCCAACGGUAAACGCUGGGUAGCUAUGUAUGGAGUGGAUAACCGCUGAAAGCAUCUAAGUGGGAAGCCCACCUCAAGAUAAGUAUUCUCC
rnacentral:rRNA from 1 species